AUUGAACGCUGGCGGCAGGCCUAACACAUGCAAGUCGAGCGGAUGAAGGGAGCUUGCUCCUGGAUUCAGCGGCGGACGGGUGAGUAAUUCCUAGGAAUCUGCCUGGUAGUGGGGGAUAACGUCCGGAAACGGGCGCUAAUACCGCAUACGUUCUGAGGGAGAAAGUGGGGGAUCUUCGGACCUCACGCUAUCAGCUUAGCCUAGGUCGGAUUAGCUAGUUGGUGGGGUAAUGGCCUACCAAGGCGACGAUCCGUAACUGGUCUGAUAGGCUGAUCAGUCACACUGGAACUGAGACACGGUCCAGACUCCUACGGGAGGCAGCAGUGGGGAAUAUUGGACAAUGGGCGAAAGCCUGAUCCAGCCAUGCCGCGUGUGUGAAGAAGGUCUUCGGAUUGUAAAGCACUUUAAGUUGGGAGGAAGGGCAGUAAGUUAAUACCUUGCUGUUUUGACGUUACCAACAGAAUAAGCACCGGCUAACUUCGUG
rnacentral:rRNA from 1 species